rnacentral:lncRNA from 1 species
CUCUUUUCAAUUUGGCAAAUUUGUUUUUUGCACUUGUUUUUCUUUCUCGUUAUUUUUGCAGAUUUGUAUCCCACUCCUGCCAUUGUCUUGACUUCUUGAUGAGUUUCCAAGGAAGAUUUUUAAUGUCUCAGACUCCCUGAAUUCCCCAGGCCAAUACCAAAGGCUGAGAUGUAUGCAGUUGGUCAUGACAUUCACCUGGGAUUUGCUGAAGCCAAAAUAAAAUCAGAUAAAGCUCCAUGUUGAAUUUGGAUUUCCUGUGUCUCAGCUGUUGCCCUGAGAAGGGAGGGAGUCCCCAUCUGCACAUGCCUCUUGGCCAGAAUGUCAGGGACUUUGGACCCAGGUGGUUGAAUUCUCCCACAAAAGCUCUGCUGCGCAGGAGGAACAUUUCAGGAUGCUGCUGCAAGCCUGAGUGCAUCCAUAAUUCUGUUUUUAAAGACAAAUCAUUUAAAGUAGAGUGCUUAGAGCUCAUGACACAAACACAUCUGGAUUUCAGUUGUUGAUCUGAAAUAUUUGCAGUCCAAUAUGGUAAGAGCAGAUGUUGGAUUGACACUCAUUGUAAAUGUGAAUGAUCACAUCACAAAUCCCAUAUGUAGCUUAGUUGAGAGCAGCAAAGCCUACCUGCCCUGCUUGGUUUUGCUCUGGGGCUGAAAAUAUUUGCU